UAAAACGUAGGGAACAAGCGUUAUCCGGAUUUACUGGGCGUAAAGCGCAUGUAGGUGGCAUUGAAAGUUGGACGUGAAAACUCCUGGCUUAACUGGGAGAGGUCGUACAAAACUACAAAGCUAGAGGAUGGAAGAGGAGAGUGGAAUUCCCGGUGUAGUGGUGGAAUGCGUAGAUAUCGGGAGGAACACCAGUGGUGAAAACGGCUCUCUGGUCCGUACCUGACACUGAGAUGCGAAAGCGUGGGGAGCGAACGGG
rnacentral:rRNA from 1 species